rnacentral:rRNA from 1 species
AUUGGACGCUGGCGGCAGGCCUAACACAUGCAAGUCGAGCGGCAGCGGAAAGUAGCUUGCUACUUUGCCGGCGAGCGGCGGACGGGUGAGUAAUGUCUGGGAAACUGCCUGAUGGAGGGGGAUAACUACUGGAAACGGUAGCUAAUACCGCAUAACGUCGCAAGACCAAAGAGGGGGACCUUCGGGCCUCUUGCCAUCAGAUGUGCCCAGAUGGGAUUAGCUAGUAGGUGUGGUAACGGCUCACCUAGGCGACGAUCCCUAGCUGGUCUGAGAGGAUGACCAGCCACACUGGAACUGAGACACGGUCCAGACUCCUACGGGAGGCAGCAGUGGGGAAUAUUGCACAAUGGGCGCAAGCCUGAUGCAGCCAUGCCGCGUGUAUGAAGAAGGCCUUCGGGUUGUAAAGUACUUUCAGCGGGGAGGAAGGUGUUGAGGUUAAUAACCUCAGCAAUUGACGUUACCCGCAGAAGAAGCACCGGCUAACUCCGUGCCAGCCGCCGCGGUAA